GACGAACGCUGGCGGCGUGCUUAACACAUGCAAGUCGAACGGUGAAGGUGGAGCUUGCUCCGCCGGAUCAGUGGCGAACGGGUGAGUAACACGUGGGCAACCUGCCCCAGACUUCGGGAUAACUCCUCGAAAGAGGCGCUAAUACCGGAUACGAGUUCUGCAGGCAUCUGCGGAAUUGGAAAGUUUUUCGGUCUGGGAUGGGCCCGCGGCCUAUCAGCUUGUUGGUGAGGUAACGGCUCACCAAGGCGACGACGGGUAGCCGGCCUGAGAGGGCGACCGGCCACACUGGGACUGAGACACGGCCCAGACUCCCACGGGAGGCAGCAGUGGGGAAUAUUGCGCAAUGGGCGAAAGCCUGACGCAGCAACGCCGCGUGCGGGAUGAAGGCCUUCGGGUUGUAAACCGCUUCCAGCAGGGAAGAAGCGAAAGUGACGGUACCUGCAGAAGAAGCACCGGCUAACUACGUGCCAGCAGCCGCCGUAA
rnacentral:rRNA from 1 species